rnacentral:rRNA from 2 species
GACAGAGGCCUCGAGCGUUAGGCGGAAUCACUGGGCUUAAAGCGUGUGUAGGCGGAUCGUUAAGUGUCUUGUGAAAUCCCACGGCUCAACCGUGGAACUGCUGGGCAUACUGGCGAUCUUGGGCCAUUCAGGGGCGACUGGAACAAGCGGUGGAGCGGUGAAAUGCGUAGAUAUCGCUUGGAACGCCGAAGGUGAAAACAGGUCGCUGGGGAUGUGCCGACGCUGAGACACGAAAGCCAGGGGAGCAAACGGG